AACGAACGCUGGCGGCAUGCCUAACACAUGCAAGUCGAACGAGACCUUCGGGUCUAGUGGCGCACGGGUGCGUAACGCGUGGGAACCUGCCCUUAGGUUCGGAAUAACUCCCCGAAAGGGGUGCUAAUACCGGAUAAUGUCUUCGGACCAAAGAUUUAUCGCCUUUGGAUGGGCCCGCGUUGGAUUAGCUAGUUGGUAGGGUAAAAGCCUACCAAGGCGACGAUCCAUAGCUGGUCUGAGAGGAUGAUCAGCCACACUGGGACUGAGACACGGCCCAGACUCCUACGGGAGGCAGCAGUGGGGAAUAUUGGACAAUGGGCGAAAGCAUGAACCAGCAAGGCCGCGUGAGUGAUGAAGGCCUGAGGGUUGUAAAGCUCUUUUACCCGGGAUGAUAAUGACAGUACCGGGAGAAUAAGCUCCGGCUAACUCCGUG
rnacentral:rRNA from 1 species